UCUUCCGUAGUAUAGUGGUCAGUAUGUGAGCUUGUCAUUCCACAACGCUCGAGACCCGGGUUCAAUUCCCGGCGGGAGAG
rfam:Madurella mycetomatis strain mm55 MMYC01_Sc2026, whole genome shotgun sequence.